rnacentral:lncRNA from 1 species
UUUAUUCCCCAUCAUUACCCAACGUGUAUAAGCUGUGAGAGGAAGUUAGGAUUUAGUAACUUGGUGAAAGCAAAAGAGAAAAGAAAGGCCAAGAAAAAGAAAAGAAAAAAAAAAUCUGGUUAUGAUAAAAAGAAAAAAAAAUAGAGCAGGUCUGAAAUAGAGAAAAAAAAAGGCAAAAGAAUUGAAAGAAAACUGAGACCUGAAAGAGUUGAAAACCAGAGAAAGAAAAAAUGGGACUGGCCAAAAUAUAAAAAACAAU